AGGAAGACAGGACUAGAAGGCAGAGCUCUUUCGUUUCACAGAUGGGGAAACUGAGGCCUGGAGAAGGAAAGGAACUUGCGCAAGGUGAGAGGGCAAAAGACAGCCUGCAUCCAGCCCUCGUGGAACCACAGUUCCACUCCAUCCAUAUCUCUCCAUCUCUGCGCUGACCUUCCUGUGAGAAAUAUUCCUCCUCUAGGAAGCCUCCCUGACUCUACAGCAGAACCCACAGUUUGUAUGUUGUCA